rnacentral:rRNA from 1 species
CUUUGGGAUAACCCUCGGAAACGGGGGCUAAUACCGGAUAUUCAUGGUCUGCCGCAUGGUGGGUUGUGGAAAGUUUUUUCGGCUGGGGAUGGGCUCGCGGCCUAUCAGCUUGUUGGUGGGGUGAUGGCCUACCAAGGCUUUGACGGGUAGCCGGCCUGAGAGGGCGACCGGCCACACUGGGACUGAGACACGGCCCAGACUCCUACGGGAGGCAGCAGUGGGGAAUAUUGCACAAUGGGCGGAAGCCUGAUGCAGCGACGCCGCGUGAGGGAUGACGGCCUUCGGGUUGUAAACCUCUUUCAGCAGGGACGAAGCGCAAGUGACGGUACCUGCAGAAGAAGCGCCGGCCAACUACGUGCCAGCAGCCGCGGUAAGACGUAGGGCGCGAGCGUUGUCCGGAUUUAUUGGGCGUAAAGAGCUCGUAGGCGGCUUGUCGCGUCGACUGUGAAAACCCAUGGCUUAACUGUGGGCUUGCAGUCGAUACGGGCAGGCUAGAGUUCGGUAGGGGAGACUGGAAUUCCUGGUGUAGCGGUGAAAUGCGCAGAUAUCAGGAGGAACACCGGUGGCGAAGGCGGGUCUCUGGGCCGAUACUGACGCUGAGGAGCGAAAGCGUGGGGAGCGAACAGGAUUAGAUACCCUGGUAGUCCACGCUGUAAACGUUGGGCGC